AACGCGAAGAACCUUACCUGGGCUCGAACGGCCGGUCAACGACGGUGGAAACAUCGUUACCCCGCAAGGGGUCCGGUCGAGGUGCUGCAUGGCUGUCGUCAGCUCGUGUCGUGAGAUGUUGGGUUAAGUCCCGCAACGAGCGCAACCCUUGUCCUGUGUUGCCAUGCCGAAAGGCGGAACUCGCAGGAGACCGCCAGCGAUAAGCUGGAGGAAGGUGGGGAUGACGUCAAGUCCUCAUGGCCUUUAUGUCCAGGGCUACACACGUGCUACAAUGGCCGGUACAAAGCGUCCCAAACCCGCGAGGGGGAGGCAAUCGGCAGAAAGCCGGUCUACAGUUCGGAUUGCAGGCUGCAACUCGCCUGCAUGAAGCUGGAAUCGCUAGUAAUGGCAGAUCAGCACGCUGCCGUGAAUACGUUCCCGGGCCUUGUACACACCGGAGUA
rnacentral:rRNA from 1 species